rnacentral:lncRNA from 1 species
ACCCACAGGUGUGUCCGGAGCUGGCCCCAGACACAAAGCGCCAAGAAUUGGCGGGGACAUCUCAGCCGGCGGGGACACACCCCGGAGUCCGAGGUCCCCGUCACCAGGGUGCAGCUGCCCAGACUGUCCUCUCCAGAAGCCAGCGCCUUGGCCGUCUGCAUCUCACUGUGUCCUCGGCACUUAGAACAGUCCUGGUGCACAGUAGGUGCGCUUGGUGGGGAUGAGAUCAGUGAACAGAUGAAGGCAGAAGGGCCUUCAUGCCACAGAAGGACAUGGGGACAGGAAAGGGCUCGGCCAGGAUAUCCCUUCCUGUGGCCGACAGUCAACAGAGCCUUCCCCACUGCCAGACCGAAGGUCUCUUCCUCCUCCUAGUAUCCAUG